UGGAGUGGCUCAGAUAAGAAGGCAAGAGCAUCCUCCACAUUUUCAAGGGGAACUUCUGACUCUGGUUUUGGCAGCGUUCACAUGCCUGGAAUGGGUAAUUCUGCUUACAACAUGAUUGGUUAUCCACCUACACAAAGUCUUGGAAACCUCGACGCAAGAGCUGCUAGUGAGAUAA